rnacentral:piRNA from 1 species
UGGGAAAUGUACAGCAGGUCUUCUAGAAGC